rnacentral:lncRNA from 1 species
AAAACCGGGCUACUACUGUUCUUUGAAGCCAUCAUAAUGAAAAUAGGAGGGAUCAGCACAAAUGAUUUGGCGACAAUUCUUGGAGCUCAAGCUCUGUUAUAACAAAGUCAGACGAAGAGUGCAGAAUCAGAGGCACAUCAGCAAAAUAUCUCUGUUAAAACAAAGUUAGAGGCACACCUGAUCUUAAUUCCCCACACCCUAAGGCAAAACGGAAGAAGAUGGCACACUGGAGCAGAACAAGGCAUUCAUAAACAAAGAAAACAGUUAAGUUAAUUCCCCACACCCUAUGGCAAAACGAAACAAGAUGGAAAACAGUUAAGUUAAUUCCCCACACCUUCUCCCGCCUUCAAACCAAAAAGCCUUCCGUUGGCCCCCCGAUAAGCAUACAGUCCGUUGAAAGAACAGAGGACUAUGCUUGUGUCGCUCCAAAGAACAGAGGUCUUGCUCUAAAAAGCCUUCCGUUGGCCUCCCGAUAAGCAUACAGUCCGUUGAAAGAACAGAGGACUAUGCUUGUGUCGCUCCAAAGAACAGAGGUCUUGCUCUAAAAAGCCUUCCGUUGGCUGGGCCGAUAAGCAUACAGUCCGUUGGAACCUCACAGAACAGAAAACUAUGCUUGUGGAGCUCCAAAGAACAGAGGACAUCAAACCAAAAAGCCUUCGUUGGCCCUCGACUGCCCUACAGUCCGUUGGAACCUCAAAGAACAGAGCAGAAUGCUUGUGGAGCUCCAAAGUCUUCUCUGGAAUUCCAACGGUC